rnacentral:pre_miRNA from 1 species
CAAGUACUCCCUCCGUCCGGAAUUACUUGUCAUCAAAAUGGAUGUGUCUAGAACUAAAAUACAUAUAGAUACAUCCAUUUCAAUGACAAGUAUUUUCAGACGGAGGGAGUACAAG